CCCAGUCUCCUUGUUUCUUCUUAUGCCCCCAUCUCUUCUCUGCAACACACCCACACACCACACACGCACACACCACACACCACACACGCAGUCUCUCCUUCUCUCCCUCAGUCUCUCCGUCGUCCGUCCAUUCUUCUCCCUCAGCCUCGAUCUCGAUCCUUCUCUCCCUCAGUCUCUCCGUCCGUCCAUCCUUCUCCCUCAGCCUCGAUCUCGAUCCUUCUCCCUCAGUCUCUCCGUCCAUCCUUCUCCCUCAGCCUCUCCAUCCUUCUUCUUCUCCCUCAGUCUCUCGAUCCUUCUCCGGUUCUCCCCCCCUAUCAAAUCCGAGCGGGUUUUAGGAUCUGGAGAAAGGGAUUGCUCAUUUUCAGGGUCUGAGCGUGGAUUGCAGAGAGAGGAUUGCUCAUUUUCAGGGUCUGAGCGUGGAUUGCUCAUUUUCAGCUGUCGUUGCGACGACGACGGAGGAUCCUCGGCGAUAUUAUGGUUAAUAUCGCAACAAUAUCGCUAAUAUCGCGAUAUUAUCGAUAUUGGCGAUAUUAUCGCGAUAUUAUUACGAUAAUUAACUGUAAACGUUGAAAAUAUCGCUAUGUGAAAAUAACGAUAUUAUCGGCGAUAUUUCGCCGAUAAUAUCGAUAUUUAAUUCCAUGCUCCUACCCCAUGUUUCAUACGCGUUCCAUACAAAUAUUAGCUCAUAGGAAAAGGUCAUGAUAUGAUAUGGGUUCAUACAACCAUGCCAUAAAGUUUUCGGUGUGUUUCCGAUGUGACCGUUACACUGACAAGUAAGUUUUUAUCAAUUAAUUUAUGUUACACUACGUAUUUUAUAAUCUUAUUACUAUUUCACCAUGAAUAAAAGAGUAUAAUAUGUUCGUACAUACAUGUUAUAACACGUGUAUUAGUAAGUUAUGUUGAAACAAAAUAAUUUCAACUAGGCAAGGGUGACAAACCCAUUUGGGUCCCAUGAAAGAUACAAAGCAAUAAUGAUAUAACCCUGUCAUCCUCAUGACCUAAUAUAUAAUGUAUCACGGAGUCCCAGCCAAGCCAAGAAGGAGCGCAGAAGCAACCUAGAAAUUGAUUGAGAGGAUAUUAUCUUUAUACGAUCAUCAUUCUGUACCUUAGUGAAUUAAACUAGACGGUGGCUCUUCCAACCAAAUAUCACAUUCACGUUCACAUGAUUCAUCACAUGGAGACCUGCAAGGAGAGCAACAAAAGGAAGAUGAUCAAUAGCGACGUUGAUGAUGACGAUGAAGAAGAGAAAAUUGAGUUGUUCUUUGCUCUUAUCAACAACAUCCGGAAAGCUCGUGAUCGGUUGAUGAAUGGUUCGAAUGUGUCGAAAGGGAGCGAAAUUCAUGAGAACGUAUCAACCAAGAAGAAUAAAGGGAAAGUGGUAGAGGAAGAUGAGGAAGAGAAGACCACAGCUGGAGUUUGGAAGCCAACUUUUCAGCUUGAAGAUUUAACGGAAGCGGCGACUCAGAUCAAAAUCCCUCAUGUCAUCUCUCGGGUUAGUAAGAGAGAACAUUGUAAAAAAGGUGAUCUAGAUCUUAGGCUUUCUCUCUAACUAUGUAUCAUUUGGUGUGUGUAAUUACUUAUUAGUCGUAGCCUUAUAGGUUACGAAUUGAAGAAGACAAACUAAGAAUAAUCUAUGUAUCAUUUGGUGUGUGUAAUUAUAAGUCGUAGCCUUAUAGGUUACGAAUUGAAGAAGACAAACUAAGAAUAAUCAUGGCAACAAACUAAGCUAUUUAUUAAAACACGAGUUGAACGGAUAGCAUAUCGAUAUAUUUGUAUGUGGUCCAAUGUCUUAGUAAAUAGGGAGUUGAGAUCCUAUCUAUGAGGUUUGAAACACUCACUCCCCUUAAUUAUCGUAAUAGUUUUGAAAUCUCCUCUUCUCCAUCCCUUAAUAGUAAUAAUUAAAAUAUAAAUAAAUCAUAGCUUAUAUAUAUAUAUAGGUAUCAACAAUUACAACACAAGCUACUUUUGUUCCUCGAUCUUCGUCAUCAAAGAUCAAACUAAAAUGAGUAAUCAAAAUCUCUUGUCAAGAUUUCUUCUAUCAACUUGACUCUAGUAGCAUUUUUUCUUUUCCUGGUCAAUUUUGACUCUAGUAGUAUUGAACUGAUGUGCUCAAAUCAUGCAUAUGUUGUUGGCAAUGGAGAGGUUCACGGUGGAGGACGGGGAAAGGAUUGGUACGGGCGACAGCGAGGAGAGAUGGAUAUAUGAAGAAAAGUGGUUGUUUGCUGCUGAUUUAUGAAAUUACACUAGUAAAAAAAAUAUAUUGCUCGACAAAACACACAUCGUCACACAAAAUCACUUUGCGCAACGAAAUUUUAAACUUCGUCACUCAAAAUCUUUCCAAAAAUUAAAAAAAAAA
rnacentral:lncRNA from 1 species